rnacentral:misc_RNA from 1 species
UUAAGUUCAGCGGGUAUCCCUACCUGAUCCGAGGUCAACCUUAUAAUAAUUGGGGUUGUUGGCAAGCACCAUCAAGACCCUGUCGCGGGAAAUUACUACGCGUAGAGCUUAAGAGCACCGCCACUGGUUUUAAGAGAGGCCAGUCAGGCCAGCUCCAAGUCCACCACGGGGGUGAGUUGGUCAUUAUGACGCUCGAACAG